AAAAUUGCUCAACACUUGGGGAUGUGUGUGAUGUGAUUAAUGAAUCUCAAGUGUGUGAUGAUGUUGAAAAUAUUGAUCAAAGAAAUAGGAGUGAACCCGUAAGGUUGCCCUUUGAUUCUAAUACUUACUUGGCUCAUAGGGAUAAUCAUGUGCUUCAAACAUCUUUAAAACUUGAUAAUGAACUUUUACAGAGUGAACUUACUUGUUCCAAAUUUGCCCGCG
rnacentral:lncRNA from 1 species